AUGACUGAGAGCUGCUGCUCAGCAACUUCACCCACAGCAACCAUGACUUUGAUCAGCGUCUUCAUCUGCACACUGGCCCUCUGGACUCAAGGAUCCAGAGGUCAGGUGACUGUGACUCAGACUCCUUCAGUGCAAACUGUUGAUCCCGGAAAAACAGUCACCUUCAACUGUAGAACCAGUAGCAGCGUGUAUUGGGAAAUGUUUUUAGGUUACCAUCUACACUGGUACCUGCAGAAACCUGGAGAAGCUCCUAAACUCCUGAUCUACGGGGCUACUACUUUACAGUCAGGAACUCCAGCUCGUUUCAGUGGCAGUGGAUCUGAUACUGACUUCACUCUGACCAUCAGAGGAGUCCAGACUGAAGAUGCAGGAGAUUACUACUGUCAGAGUGAACAUUAUAUCAGUAGUAGCUGGGUGUUCACACAGUGUUAGAGCGCCGUACAAAAACCUCGGUCAGUGAGAGUGCACAGAGAAGCACUGCUGCAGCUGGGAGCGACUGCAGGUGCUGAGGGGGAGGAUGUGAUACAGCACAAUGACACACACUGUGGACGAGAGAAAACACACCACACUAACUCACUAAUGCACACACACAUCUGUGAGAGGAGUCCACCUUUCUCAGCUGUGGACAUACAAACAAUUCCUCAUCAUUCUCUUUCACUGC